rnacentral:rRNA from 1 species
UGGGGAAUUUUGGACAAUGGGCGCAAGCCUGAUCCAGCCAUGCCGCGUGCAGGAUGAAGGCCUUCGGGUUGUAAACUGCUUUUGUACGGAACGAAAAGGUGCCUUCUAAUAAAGGGCGCUCAUGACGGUACCGUAAGAAUAAGCACCGGCUAACUCCGUGCCAGCAGCCGCGGUAAUACGGAGGGUGCAAGCGUUAUCCGGAUUCACUGGGUUUAAAGGGUGCGUAGGUGGGCAGAUAAGUCAGUGGUGAAAUCUUCCGGCUUAACCGGGAAACUGCCGUUGAUACUAUUUGUCUUGAAUAUUGUGGAGGUAAGCGGAAUAUGUCAUGUAGCGGUGAAAUGCUUAGAUAUGACAUAGAACACCAAUUGCGAAGGCAGCUUACUAUAUAAUUAUUGACACUGAGGCACGAAAGCGUGGGUAGCGAACA